UAUACCCACAACGUAACCACCGACCACCGACGUCACAAGGUCAACCUUUGUUAUCUACCUUGUGACGUCGGUGGUCGGUGGUUAGGUUGUGGGUAUACAAGACAUUG
rnacentral:pre_miRNA from 1 species